rnacentral:rRNA from 1 species
GUGGGGAAUAUUGGACAAUGGGGGGAACCCUGAUCCAGCCAUGCCGCGUGUGUGAAGAAGGCCUUUUGGUUGUAAAGCACUUUAAGCGAGGAGGAGGCUACCGAGAUUAAUACUCUUGGAUAGUGGACGUUACUCGCAGAAUAAGCACCGGCUAACUCUGUGCCAGCAGCCGCGGUAAUACAGAGGGUGCAAGCGUUAAUCGGAUUUACUGGGCGUAAAGCGCGCGUAGGUGGCCAAUUAAGUCAAAUGUGAAAUCCCCGAGCUUAACUGUGGAAUUGCAUUCGAUACUGGUUGGCUAGAGUAUGGGAGAGGAUGGGAGAAGUCCAGGUGUAGCGGUGAAAUGCGUAGAGAUCUGGAGGAAUACCGAUGGCGAAGGCAGCCAUCUGGCCUAAUACUGACACUGAGGUGCGAAAGCGUGGGGAGCAAACAGGAUUAGAUACCCGUGUAGUCC